CCCAGCCUUAGCCAGUAAUGCCAACUGUUGCAAAACCAUCACAAGACUCAGGAUUUCAAAGUCCAAAUAACUCUGACUUGCAAUCUCCCAAUCCAACCCUCAGAUCUCCAGAUUUUCCCAGCUGGUCUAGAAACCAGCUCUUCCACUUCCUGGGAAAGUGCACAGUCCCUUAGGGGACUGCACAAAAGUGCAGAGAACCAUGGCCAUGAACAGUGUGUGCCCCUGACAGCUGGUGGGGUACAGCUGCACUGGCGGUGGUGGGAGCGCGGCAGCAGAAGCCCAGUGGCGGUAAGCUGGGAGCUCCUGCAUAUGCCACUGACACUGUCCACAGUGGUGGGGGGGAGUUAGCAAGCACCAAGCAGGGGUCUGCAACCACCUGCAGAUGCCACCAGCAGCAAUCAUGGACUGCCCGUAGAUGCCGCCGGCAGUAUUGGUGGCAGGAGUGGCAAACAGUGACCGCCCACAGGUGCCUUUUUGCAGGGGGUGCACAGCCACGCUCAGGGAGUGCACGUGCACCCACAUAGACUCCCUACACGUCGCCCCUGACUGUGGCCCAGGAACACUCUCACUGACUGAGCUGCCUAAAAUCCCUGUUUGUGUCACUUUCAUGUCCUAAAAGUACAAUAAGAUUGGGGCCAAUGUCUUUAAUUACAUCCCAGGGUCCAUUUUCUCCACCUGUCAUUCAUUGCUAAUGUGAUGGGCUAGCUGGCAGUGAUUUAGCCCAGGGGUUUUGAAAGGGCUAAAGAUGAUUGGAGGACUUGGGAUUCCCUUUCCUCACCAAUCAGGACCCAGAGACUCACCCUCCGUGUCCCCUGAUUGACCCCUUGGGUCACCUGGAGGGGGAUGAAAGGGGCAGGGCGGCUGAUGGAGGGGAGACCAGCGAGAGACCAGGAGGAAGGAGUUUCAAAGAGCUGGCAAGAGCUGGGCCAGCAGGGCAGGAGCAGUUACCCCAGAAGAGCUGGAAGGAGUGGGACCUGCAGGCAGCAGUUGGAGCCUCAGCAGUGCAGCCGGCAGGAGAGGCUCCUGCUGGGCUCCAGGAUCACCUACGAGAGGCUGUGGCCAGCAGGAGAGGCUCCCCAGCUCCAGCAAGGAUCUGAGCAGCGACCUGAGAGGUUCCCAGCUCUGCUUCCACCUCCUGCAAUAAGAGGCCAGGCAGCUCAAUGUGAGGCUGGGGCUCCAGGAAGGUCAAGACCCCUAGCAGCUUGGAACAGUACCAGCCCUGGUGGUUGUGUGGUAGGGUUUUUCCCUACCAUGUGGGAGGUCUGAGUUCAUAUCUCAGCUGGGAUGAGUGAAGUAACAGGGAGAAAUUCUUGUUGCAGUAGAAAAGGGUCAUUGUGUUCUUCCCCCUCCAGGUACCUAGGCCCUAUAGUCCUUGUUAUUUGACAUUUUGUAUUUUGUACCUUUUAUAUUUCAGCAACCAGUAUUGUUUGUUCUGCUGUUUGUGUUUUAUAUUUUGUUAAACCUGUCUUUUUUUUGUCAAUGACUGUAAGUGUCUGCCUUUGUUGAAACCUGCCCCCUCAGGGCGUUGUAGUGUCCCCUACACCUCCUGGUUUAUGCCUGUUAUGUUCCCAGUACUGUUCUCUCAUUAAAAGGUAUAUGGUUAAGGCCUCA